CAAGUACUCCCUCCGUCCAGAAUUACUUGUCUUCAAAAUGGAUGUGUCUAGAACUAAAAUACAUCUAGAUACAUCCAUUUCAAUGACAAGUAUUUUCGGACGGAGGGAGUACAAG
rnacentral:pre_miRNA from 1 species